rnacentral:rRNA from 1 species
UACGAAGGGUGCAAGCGUUAAUCGGAAUUACUGGGCGUAAAGCGUGCGCAGGCGGUUUCGUAAGUCAGAUGUGAAAGCCCCGGGCUUAACCUGGGAACUGCAUUUGAAACUGCGAGGCUAGAGUGUGUCAGAGGGGGGUAGAAUUCCACGUGUAGCAGUGAAAUGCGUAGAGAUGUGGAGGAAUACCGAUGGCGAAGGCAGCCCCCUGGGAUAACACUGACGCUCAUGCACGAAAGCGUGGGGAGCAAACAGG